GGGGUUGUGGCUCAGUGGUAGAGCGCUCGCCUCACAUGUCAGAGACCCUGGGUUUGAUCCUCAGCACCA
rnacentral:tRNA from 1 species